rnacentral:rRNA from 1 species
GGACUACACGGGUAUCUAAUCCUGUUCGCUCCCCACGCUUUCGCUCCUCAGCGUCAGUGCCGGCCCAGCCCACUGCCUUCGCCAUCGGUGUUCUUCCUGAUAUCUGCGCAUUUCACCGCUACACCAGGAGUUCCAUGGGCCCCUACCGGACUCUAGCUAUAGCAGUAUCGGAUGGCGACUCCAGGUUGAGCCUGGAGGUUUCACAUCCGACUUACCAAGCCGCCUACGAGCUCUUUACGCCCAAUGAAUCCGGACAACGCUCGCUCCCUACGUAUUACCGCGGCUGCUGGCAC